rnacentral:lncRNA from 1 species
CAGUUGGGUGAGUUAUAGAGAUAUACUUGCAUAUUGAUGUAGUUAAGAGACAAUUAGUAAUAAUUAUUUUAUUAUUGAAUGGUUUUAUCAACAACUACUCAAGGGUUCAAAACACGCGUAUUUUGUUACAUGCAUAGAAUGGAAAUUAUAGUUAAAAUUCUCAAAAGAAAUUAUGCUUUCCUCAUCUCUCUUUUCCCAAUUCUUCUUGUUUCUAGUGAUGGUAAGUCCUUUUACAACACUCAUUUUAAUUUUUCUUGUUGAUAAAUAGACACAAUCUUUCAUUCCAUUUUAGUAACACUUUUAUUAAUUUUUGACAUUACAGAUGUUUUUGCAUGCAUUACUUUCAUGGGUAUUCGGGUUACAUGCAAUGAUGCAUAUGAUUGUAGGGAUUGGAAAAGUAGGUGUUUCGAUCCUUUUAUUCUGCGGUGCAUUAACAAUAAAUGUUAUUGCAUGUAAGCAUGAUAAUUAAGUUGUAAAAUAAUUAUGUUACUUUUAAGUCUAUAAAUUUAUUUGUACUUAAUAACCAAGAUACAAUUAUUUAGUUAUAUUUAAAAUACACGUUGAGAUUGUGAAUACAGAAGACACGCACAUAUUUUUUUAUACUUGAUUUUUCCAUGGUGAAAAUUAUCUAUUUUUAUUUAUC